CCGUUUAAUAACGGCGGCACAUUGACGGUACCCGCAGAAAAAGCCACGGCUAACUACGUGCCAGCAGCCGCGGUAAUACGGAGGGUGCAAGCGUUAAUCGGAAUUACUGGGCGUAAAGCGCACGCAGGCGGUCUAUGUAAGUCAGAUGUGAAAUCCCCGGGCUCAACCUGGGAACUGCAUUUGAAACUGUGUAGCUUGAGUCUCGUAGAGGGGGGUAGAAUUCCAGGUGUAGCGGUGAAAUGCGUAGAGAUCUGGAGGAAUACCGGUGGCGAAGGCGGCCCCCUGGACUGAAGACUGACGCUCAGGUGCGAAAAGCGUGGGGGAGCAAACAGGAUUAGAUACCCUGGUAGUCCACGCCGUUAAACGAUGUCGACUUGGAUGUUGGGCCCUUGGAGGCGUGGCUUCCGGAGCUAACGCGUUAAGUCGACCGCCUGGGGGAGUACGGCCGCAAGGUUAAAACUCAAAUGAAUUGACGGGGGCCCGCACAAAGCGGUGGAGCAUGUGGUUUAAUUCGAUGCAACGCGAAGAA
rnacentral:rRNA from 1 species